AAGUCAAGGUCAUGUAUCGGAUGUUUUCCUGGCAUUUGGUUCAGGCUUCCGACACCAGAACCUCUUCAGAACCAGAACCUCUUCUCAACGGCGUCUUUCUGCAACAACGUGUAUUACUUCUGUCGGAGGGAGUCUGAUUUUCAUUUGAAAAAACACAAGAGCUCCUUGAAGGGAAAAGCGUCAGAUUGGAUCGAGUGCUCUUCCCUCCUUCGCCUCUCGUCCCCAAACACGGCGUCACGGCAUCACACCCCUCGCGGUACAUUAACGCCGUCUGGGACGCGCCGCCCGCUGGCCGAUCAAAGUCAAGGUCAAAUGCAUCAGGAAGGCUCCUCGUGCUGAUUGUGUGUGUUGCAGCACACGCACAGUACCGCCUUACACACACACACACACACACACACACACACACACACACCUGGAGGCGACAUGCGACAAGUGUGUGUGGACAUGUAGCGGGACAGACAGAGCAUAUGGGAGUGUUUACUCAGCUCUGCAGCACGACACUGUGCAUGUGCUCAUAGUGCAUCCUCUUCCUCCCAGUCCACCGUCAUCAUCGGCCCCUCUGUCGCUCCUCUUCCUCCUCUUCCUCCCUCCUUGAGGACGCGAGUAAGAGGAGGAGAUUUACACGGGCUGCCAUCCACGCUUCUCUCUCUCUCUCUCUCUCUCUCUCUCUCCCUCCCUGCUUACUGUCUCCACCUCGCUCGCCCUGAGAGAUAAUUAAAGAGCCCACUAGUGAUCCCAUCCAGCCGGGCAAUCAGACGGUGUGACACACACAAACGCACACAAACGCACACGCACGCACCAGACUGCAGCUUGCACACUUUCAGCAGCAAGUAAAGCAAAGGAUCGAGUUGUAGAAGACGCACACAGAGAUACACACACACACAGAGACACACACAGUCUCUUAGCAAAGGGACACGCCAAGAGGCAAAAGACCAAUUGACCCAGUUCAUUCAAACCUGGCAACCCGCAGGAAGGAAAGGAUGGCUGGAGGAUGGGUGGAUGGGUGGAUGGGUGGAUGGGUGGAUGGGAAAUUGAUUAAAUGAAGGACUGGACUGAUGAAUGGACGGACGGACGGACGGAUGAACUGAUGAAUAGAUGGAGCGAUAAACUGAUGGAUGAGGAAAGAAUGGAGUCACAAUUGUAAGAUGGGGGUUGAGGAGGUUGCAAAAUGAUCGCAAUGACAUGAUGGAUUGUAGUUUAUUGGCGAGACGGUGAUGCAUUUCGGCUUGUUUGGUGUGUGUGACAUCAACGUUUAACUUGGAGCAGGUUCAUUGUAAAAAGAUAUUCGACCUCAAUUGGUUUCAUCGGGUUGAAUAAACGUAGGAAAAGGAGGAGAGGAGCAGACGAAAAGGGGGUGGAGGAUGGAAAAGGGGGACGCAUGAACGCGAGAUACAUAUGAGACUUUUCGAUGGACGCGUAGGAGACAUUUGGGAGAAUGCACGAGAGGAGACGUUGGACGUAAAAAAACAAUAGAUUUAUCGAUCAACAUCGGAUACGAAUGGACGGACAUAUACAAGCGCACAUUGAAAAGAUGGAGGAGUGAAAGGGACUUUGGUCGAAGGGAUGGAGAGUCCUGAAAGCGGAUGCCGGACGGAUGAAUGGUUGGACACAGUCGACACGUAGAAACGCGGGUGGAGGAAGGACGAAUGGACGGAGGGAGCAGGACAGAAUGCAUGAAGGGAAGCAGCGGGACACUGGCUGCAAAACCGGCACUAGACCGAGAUCAAUGGAUGGAUGGAUGGAUGGAGGCUGGCCAAGUGCAUGCGUGUGUAGAACGGGUGGAGGAGGAGACGCACGGACGGAUGAGGCGAUGAAGUCGGAUCGCUGGUCCCAUGACACCCGAAUACGAAUCACCUGCGAUGCGGAAUGAGAAACAAGACGGUUUCGGUUCUCGGUCCGCGGCGCGGACAGGAUGGAGGCGGACGCCACACAGCGCCGACGGGACGCGGCGCGGACGCCACACAACGGCGACGGGACGCGGCGCGGAGACGGACAAAGUACCUGUUGCCGAUUUGGGUCUGUGUCUUCCUUUGGGCCGUCGUUGGGAAUUGCCCAUGCUGGUCUUCCUGUCCCAAAACAUCACCGCCUCAUUCCAGCGACACACGCUCACUGAGAGAGAGGCUGGCGAGGUGUGCGUCCGCACGUGUGUGUGCGUGUGUGCGCGUGUGUGUGUGUGUGUUAAAGCAUGUGCAAGACAAGCGAGAAGCGUGUGCGAGGCGACGUCACAGCAUCACUGAAGCCGUGUGUGUGUGUGUGAGAAGCUCGGUGAUUGCAGCGAGAGACGGAGAGGAGUGUGUGUGUGUGUGUGUGUGUGUGUGUGUGUGCGCAGCGCUACGUGAUCUGUUGACAAAGCAGACUGUGUGUGAACGUGAGUGAGAAAGCAUGCAUGUGUGUGUGUGUGUGUGUGUGUGAGAGAGAGAGAGAGCAACCUCCUCAGUC
ensembl:lncRNA